GAGAAUGUAAUUUGGUUGUUAUUAUAUUAACAUUUAAAGGCAAAAAUUUUAGGUUCGAAUCCUAUCUUUCUCA
rnacentral:tRNA from 1 species